UGGAGAGCGGGCAGAUGCACCUGGGGCUGCGGGGGGAUCUUUUCGGGCGGCCGGACCCCUACCGGGCCGUCUCCAGCCCCCGCACGGACCCGUACGCCAGCGCCCAGUUCCACAACUAUGCCCCCAUGAACGUGAAUAUGGGCAUGAACGUGGCGGCCCAUCACCACCACGGCCCGGGGGCUUUCUUCCGCUACAUGCGCCAGCCCAUCAAGCAAGAGCUGUCCUGCAAGUGGGUCGAGGAGACCCAGCUGAGCCGGCCCAAAAAGAGCUGCGACCGGACUUUCAGCACCAUGCACGAACUGGUCACCCAUGUGACGAUGGAGCAUGUCGGGGGCCCGGAGCAGAACAACCACAUCUGCUACUGGGAGGAGUGUCCGAGGGAAGGCAAGUCUUUCAAGGCGAAAUACAAACUGGUGAACCACAUUCGCGUUCACACGGGAGAAAAACCCUUCCCGUGCCCGUUCCCAGGCUGUGGGAAAAUCUUUGCCCGGUCCGAGAAUCUGAAGAUCCACAAAAGGACGCAUACAGGUGAGAAACCUUUUAAGUGUGAAUUCGAAGGCUGUGAUAGACGCUUUGCGAACAGUAGUGACAGAAAGAAGCACAUGCAUGUACACACUUCAGACAAGCCUUAUAUCUGUAAAGUGUGUGACAAGUCUUACACCCAUCCCAGCUCUCUUAGGAAACACAUGAAGGUUCAUGAAUCGCAAGGGUCAGAUUCCUCCCCCGCUGCCAGUUCAGGCUAUGAAUCGUCCACUCCACCCGCUCUGAGUUCUACAAACAGUAAAGACUCUACCAAAACCCCUCCGUCAACAAUUCAAAGUAACACCAGCCACAACCCCGGACUGCCACCCAAUUUUAACGAAUGGUACGUCUAAGGACAAACCAGCCAACCUAACUAUAGACUGGACCAAAUGAAUUCCAAGGAAAACUGAAAACCAAUCACACGGAAAUGGAGUUUUCACGCAAACAAGCGUAUAGGGCUACAUCUAGUUAAUUGCAAUUAUCCAGGAAAGGGUUUUAAUUUUUUUUGCAAGAAGCAGACGCUGGACUUUUCUCAGGAUUGGAUUUUUUUUUUUUUUUGGCGUUCGCAGUAAUUUCUUUGAUUUUUUUUCUCUUCCCUCUGCCAGUUACCGCCCCUUUCCUCCCUUCCUUCAUUUGAAUACUUUUUAAUUUUUAUUAUUGUCAUUUUUUGGCUUUUUCUUCCUUCGGUGGGAUGCUGACAUGAGGAUGAAAAUUCUCCUUCGCCUUAGUGGUGAUUGUUUAAACUCACAUUCUUAAACCGUGCCAAAGUCCUGUUAUGUCUUGAACUUCACUUUCUCUUUCACUCUCUCUCUCUCCUUUCUCAAAGCAUUAUACUUGUGAAUGUAUUCUCGUCUGAUGGGUUCGUCCAGUAUUUUUCCAAGAUGAGGCUGUGGUGUUAUUCUACCCGGAUUGUGACCGUUUAGUAAAACAGUUGCCUUUUUGUAAUAACUUUUUUUUGUAAAUACAUAUCCAUGAUGCCAUAUUUAUCGUUUGUAAUUUAAUGAUUGAUACGAAGUGCCGGGAACUGAACAAUAUUUAUGGGGGAAAAGUGUUUUCUAACAAAAAAGCAACAAAAUCAAACAAAAAACCCAACUCUGUACAGUUUUUGGUUAUAACUGCUUUAGCAUUAAAAAUUUAUUGUUUUUGAAAGAACACCAUGGAAUAGUUUUUGAACCACUCUUGUAUUUCCUUAUUGCUCAUCCAGCACUGGCAAAGUAGCCACAUAUCAAGGUGUCUGUAUCUCCUUCCCAGUCUUUAUAGGAUUUGCUUCCCUGAUGCAGUCUGGGAAUAUACAGUGUUUCUUUCAACAGGGAAAUGAGAGUCGUCUUGCUGUUUCCCUUGUCUCCGCCCUCACAUCCCAGUGGUUUGUUUUCUCCUCGAGCUUCAUAUGUUUGUUAUUGCACUCUCUGCAAGCAAUCCAAUAUUACUGAUCUGUCCUGUGAGGGACCAUGACAUAUCUCUUUCUUGCACUUCAAAGAACAUUUAGGCGUUCCCUGUGUUGCAUAGUAAACAGCAGAAGGUAAAUCUAAUGUGUGAGUUUUAUUCUUGUGUGUGGCUCCUUUUUACACUUUUCUGAAAGGCUUGCAUGUGUCUCCAUAGAUGGAUAGAUAUGCCCAGCCAUCUAGCUCUGUAUACGUGCAUUUAAGAGGUUUAGGAUGAAUCUGAAACAGCUGGGUAGUGAGUAAAAGAAUCUAGUUCCAUGUGUUUACUUCAGAUUAAUGUAAGUGCUUCUUAAAAGAAUUAGUUUAUCCCGGUUAUAGGGGGGGGAGGGGCAAAAGGUGGAUUUGUUUGGUUGUAUAUAAUCCACCACACAGCUAUAAAAAUUAUUCUAUAUAGCCAAUCACAAGACAACUUCAAAAGUUUAAGAAACAAUAUAGAAAUUAAUUGACAAAUAUAUUUUCAAAGCUAAUGAGUUGUACACAGAUGCUGAUAUAAUUUUAAUUAAUAUCAGUAACAUAUGCAAUUAUUUGUUUUAAAAUAAAAUUCUAACCUGAUGCUUACUAUAUCUUUGGUGAAAGGGAACAUCAAAACUGAGCAUAUAUACACACAGUUCUAGAAAACCAACCAUCUAUUGGUUGGCAAUUAAUAAUAUUUUAAAAAAUUAAAUUAUGUUGAUCAGUUUCUGCUUUAUACAUGGGAUUUAGGAUGGUAUGGUUUUGUAUUAUAUUUUUGCUUUAGGUUAAUAAUGAAGGCACAGUGUGAACAGUGACUAUUUAAGAAAUGAACAGGAAGUAAAAGCCAAGAAAUGGGGAGAAGACUGAGGAAUUUCAGAGAAAUGUUAGCUUGAUAAAUUACUAUUGGAAAAAACAAUAAAGCAAACAAACCAAAAACUACCUCCCUCAACACUUCCCCCUCCAAAAUAUUUUAAGAUUUUUCAUCUGUAUCAUAUAUUAUCUCAGUUAACCUAAGCUAUUAAUGGAUCCACCUUUUGGUUUUCUUUCUCCUGAUUUUUGUAAACUUUAAAAUUCUCAUGUCUAAUAUUUAUUUUGCAUUUAGAUCUUUGUCUAACUUUGUCAGUUAAAACAGCCUCAUUCAUUUUUAAUAAUAAUAAACAAAAUAUGCCAUCUUCCCAGAAGUGUUAUUUGGAGAUUAAAAAUAGAUUGUAUUUCUCUCCCUAAAUAUAUUAUUUAAAAUUGACUAAUUGUAAUAUCUUACCUACUGAAUUUAACAGUGUAUGGUGACUAUUAACUAGCAUCAUUUCUAUGUACAUACAUAUGAUAGAAUGCAGCAUUUGAAGGUGUAUACAGUUCAGCUAAAGUAAUGUAUUCUGUAAACUGUUAGCUGUUAGAAUUUUCCCUGGCUUUAAGGAUGUGGGUAAUUUAGGACCUUUGCGGGAGGGAAGGAAACCCAGACAGUCCCAUCUUGAACUUGACACUCAUUGGAACGGCUGAACUGAGAAUACUGUUUGUUUACUUCCUGCUUUAAAAUGUCUUUUAUUUUAUGCAGUUUUGAUCAAACCGACAAAUCGUUUAAAAAACAGGAAAAGUUUUUCAGAAAUAAAGCCGGAACUCCAGUAGAUUGAUUACAAUGUUUGACAGGACUGCAAUUCCAAAAUGAGGGUUAAAUUGCCAUUCUAUUCUCUUGUCCUAAUUUUCCCCUUUGAAAUACAUUUUUUAAAUGAUUAUUUCGAUUUCUUUUAUGCAGCCAAAUAUUUCUUCUGCUAUACACAGGCAACGGAUUUGAAAUCCCAUUCCAUUAAAGUUGUCAACUUUAUACAGAGGCAAGUAGUGCUGUGAGACACUGCAAAAUACAGAAAAAAGCACAAGAAGGGCAGAGGCUCCUGGCUUGAACCUGCAGUAACUCCAGAGAUACAAAAUGGCCGUGAUGCAGCCAUUUUGGAUACUUAACACGUAACCUCAAUGGGCUUUAUACCAGACCUCAACUCCAUUUGAUUCCUGGAACAACCUGCUUCCAGCUUGUUUCCUUUUCUGUUGUACAGGCUGAAGCUGGUCUGUCAGAAGCAGAAAGGAGAACUAGUCCUGUAUUGUUCAGCGUACCGUGAGAAAUAAACGUUGUUCCACUGAAUAGCCUACAUGUUGGGGGCCUUACCUUGCCAAGCAUUCUCAAUUCCUGUUCAUUUCAAAGGGAGUGGAAAGAGCACAUGGAAUUACAGAAUGUUAAAACUGGAAGGGACCUUGAGAGAUCAUCAAGUCCAAUCCCCUGCCCUCACGGCAGGACCAAGCACCAUCUAGAUCAUCCUUGAUGGAUGUCUGUCCAACCUGCUCUUAAAUAACUCAUCAUGUUGCAGGGUCAGCAGUGGAUAUGCUGCACUGUGUCUCCUAGUCCAGGACAUGGCUCUUGCUGAUGGUAUUAUGCCUAUCAAUGUAAACUUUGAAUAGAGAUUGGGAAGGGCUCACUCAUGACCAUAAGUAAUUUUCCACAUUAGGUAUUCUUACCUUCUUAUCUACAUCCAUCCUGAUUGAAUUGGCUCUGAUGUAACACUCCCAUUUCUGUACCCCUGCUAUAUGUUUGUUUCUUUCCCUUAAUGCAUCUGAUGAAGUGAAUUGCAACCCACGAAAGCUUAUGCAAUAAUAAAAUUGCUAAUCUUUAAGGUGCCACCGGACUCCUUGUUGUUUUUAAUGUAAAUUCUCAAUACAGGGGUUCACAACCUUCCAGCCCUCAUAAUUUGCCUCAUUAGCACUGGUCCUACA